UACGUAGGGGGCGAGCGUUGUCCGGAUUCAUUGGGCGUAAAGCGCGUGCAGGCGGCCUGGUAAGUCGGCCGUGAAAGCGCCGGGCUCGACUCGGCGAGGUCGGGCGAGACUGCGAGGCUAGAGGCUGGUAGAGGGCGGUGGAAUUCCGGGUGUAGUGGUGGAAUGCGUAGAGCUCCGGAGGAACACCAGUGGCGAAGGCGGCCGCCUGGGCCAGUCCUGACGCUGAGCCGCGAAAGCGUGGGGAGCGAUCCGG
rnacentral:rRNA from 1 species